AUUGAACGCUGGCGGCAUGCCUAACACAUGCAAGUCGAACGGCAGCAUGGCUUGUAGCGAUACAAGCUGAUGGCGAGUGGCGGCGGGGUGAGGAACGAGUAGGAAUCUGCCCUGCAGAGGGGGACAACCCGGGGAAAGCCGGGCUAAUACCGCGCAGAACCCUGCGGAGGAAAGCCAGUGGCCACAUUGGCGCUAUGGGAGGAGCCUGCGUCCGAUUAGCUAGUUGGUGGGGUAAGAGCUCACCAAGGCGAUGAGCGGUAGCUGGUCUGAGAGGAUGACCAGCCACACUGGGACUGAGACACGGCCCAGACUCCUACGGGAGGCAGCAGUGGGGAAUAUUGGACAAUGGGGGCAACCCUGGUCCAGCAAUGCCGCGUGUGUGAAGAAGGCCUUCGGGUUGUAAAGCACUUUAGGCGGGGAAGAAGAUAUGGUGAUGAAUCAUAUUUGACGGUACCCGCAGAAUCAGCACCGGCUACCUCUGUGCCAGCAGCCGCCGUAA
rnacentral:rRNA from 1 species